GCAAACGAUUCGAGCCGCUCGCGAGCGGCUCGAGUCAAAGCUUGAGUCGAGUUCGGUCAAAUUCGAGCUCGAGUCGAGCUCGAGCGGCUCGUUUAUAAAUCGAGUCGAAUUCGAGCCAUCCUCUAUUAGGCUCGUUAGCUCGUUGAGCCGCUCGACGAGCUUUGUGAAAUUACAAAAAUACCCUUAUUUAUAUAGUUAAUUACUAAGUUAUAACAUGGGAAUUGGGAUGGAAUUCGACUUCGAGUAUCAGACGGAGGCUCGCUCAUAGCAAAAAUUACUUUCCCCAAUUCCAUUUCUUAUUACUUCUCCUCUACCGCAUCUCUGUUUGGUCUUUCCUUCACACCUUCUCAAGCCCUAGCCAUCGCCGUCACCACCCACGAGUGCACCACGCUGACCACAGCCACCACCGCGGCACCGCCACUGCUACCCUUCAGGCCUCAUUCGACUGCAAUUCGACUUCAUUCGAGAGAAACCUUCUUCCUCUCGAAGCAAUUCGACUGCAACUCGCCUUCGUCGUUGGCUCAGCUGUAUUUGGACAGAGGCUUGACUUCCUCCACGGUGCAUCUUAAGGACUGCUAACCAUCUGUCUUACUCCACGGCACAUCUUAAAGCCCUCAAUUUGAUUUCCAAUUUAAGAAAAUGAAGUCAGCACAAGAGAUUUCAUUGCCUAUUCCUUGAACUUUUUCAUGUUUUAGCAGCUGCAGCUUAUUGGUGCAUUAUUGGCUGUAGGUUGGAGCUGGAACUAUGAAUCCUCUGACAUUUCUAAGAAGAGAAGAAGUUCGUGACUUCAAUGACUUCAAUGACUGUGCUUAGUUUGUAAUUUGUAAUUCAAUAAGUUUCUGUAGUAAGAAGUUCUUGGCCUGCUUUUGGUUGUUAUUUACUUAUUUUCUGAUAUUAAAUUUUGUGACCGAGAAUCUUGAACUUGUAUGAAGUGUUGGGCAUUUAAAUUCUA